UGUUCAAGGAACGUACUGUUUCCAUCAGUGGCUUACUCAUGCAGUAAGAUGUACUGCUCCUACACCUUGUAAUAAAAAGCAUAUGCAUCGACACAUAGCAGCUGAUAUUCUUGCUUAUUUUCUCAUCACAGAGGUAGAUGGGGCACAUGAACCUAUAUGCUCACACAAAUCAACGUGACCAACUACUGUGGAGACAUGGCAACGAAUUCUUUGUUUACCUUGUACACCACAAGUGCGAGGUUUGCGCAUUCAUUUGACUUCAUGAAACCCUAUUUAUACUACAGGCUUUACGGCAAUGCUUGCAUGCAGUGCGGUGAAGCGCUCGACAAAACUGCACAUAUAUUAUAUGGUUUGUUUGAUAUUAACUCGAGAUGCAAACGUUUGUGCAGGCAGGCAAGCAAUGUUUCCAUUCACACAGCGCACCAAAAGAGCGUGGUAUAUGCAUUGAUCUGGUUUCAUGACAUCGUGCUUUUGCCACUAGCUUUACGGCAGUGCUUGUGUAUAGUGCUGCGAAGCACGACGGAACUGCACAUUAUUAUACGGUGUGCUCGAAAUCUACUCGAGAUGCAGACGUUUGUGCAGGCAGGAAACGAAUGAUUUAAUUCACGUAGCACAACACGAGAGCGCGCUCUAUGCAGUCCUUUCAUUUAAUAAAACUCUAUUUCUGCCACAGGCUUCACAGCAAUGCUUGUGUAGGGGGCUGUGAAGCUCGACGCAGCUGUAACAACAUCCCACGGUACACCCGAUUUUUACCGCGUUUGUUUUAAAGGGCCCCUCACAGGCUACAUAACAAAUUUUGGUUAUACGCUGAAAGUUGUUACGUGCCCUCUAAGAAGUGUUCUACCGCAAGCAUUUUUCAAAUUGGUUCAUUAACAGCAGAGAGAGAAUUAUUGAAGUGCCGCGAACACAUGAUUUCAGGAGGCAAGCGUCGCCGCCUAUAUAAACACUCUCUCGACUUUCCCCGUUUCGCCUGUGUAAGCGAAUUUCCUUCACUGCGUUCUCCCAUACCGGAGCCGAGGGGUCGCGCGGCGGGUAUACCCUGCCGUCUUCUUUUUUUCACCGUCACCGGCACACUUCCGGUGACGGUGUCGUGCGAGCUGUUGCGCUUGUCUCGUUUCCUGUAGCGGACGAUAAUGCGCGCUCUACACGAGAACACGUGAUUAGCGGUAUAAGUCAGUGCCCCAGCACUGAGGCAAACGCGAGGGGAUGAAGGAGCAUGAUCGCAAUGCUGGAACACAGUAGACAAUGACGUAUAGUUUCGUUCUCUGCGGGCGUGCAAACGUCGGAAAAAGGAGACGAAAUGGAAAUUCAUAUUGCUACAGUGCGAAGUAAAACAAAAGCACCCAGACAUUCGGGUUGUAUUUUUCAUUAUUUCUCUAAACUUUAAUUAGUCCACUGAAGCAACGUACAGAUUCAACAAAUAACUGAUGCUGCCUUGAAUCUAAGUCACGUGUCACUCUGAAUGACAUCACAGCACAGCCUGUGCUCCUACGCAGCAGCAAAGUUAUGGGCAUUCAUCUGCUUGCUGCUGCGAUAACAUUAUCACACUUGAACUCAGAGUGAUUGUUCUACAAGUGAUCAACAUCAGCUAAACAAGGGAGGCCUCUGCCUGCAGCCAGUGUUUCAACAAGAGGACUAGUUGACAAAGAUGAGUUUGUCACAACGUUGGCUCCAGCCCAAAACAUUCCUUAUUCGACUUGUAUUUACAUCUUCCUGUGAAUCUGUUUGUUGCUCCAACUCCAAUACACAAAGAUGAGUGGAA